UCCCUUUCCCAGUUCAUGGGGAGGUCUUUUCUUGUGAGGCACUCGCUGAGCCCCAUUUUCUCCCCUCUCUCCUCUCCCUCUCCAGGUUCCCUGGUCCAGGCAGCACUGACUCAGCCGCCCUCGAAGUCGGUGAACCCGGGAGACACCGUGCAGAUCACCUGCUCCGGGGGUAGCAACUUGUAUGGCUGGUUCCAGCAGAAGACCCCUGGCACUGGCCCUGUCACCGUGAUCUAUAGAAACACCAACAGACCCUCGGGCAUCCCUUCGCGAUUCUCUGGUUCCCAAUCUGGCUCCACCGGCACGUUAACCAUCACUGGGGUCCAAGCCGAGGACGAGGCCGUCUAUUACUGUGCGAGCUACGACAGCAGUGCUAGUGCUGGUAUAGUGACACAGAGCAAUGAGGGCAUGAGGGACAGACUACAGCUAGAAAUGGAGGCAUUCUGCCCUUGUCCCUCAGGGCUGAGCAGGGCUGUGGGGCUGAUGCAGGUUCCUGCCCUCUGCAUGACCACAGCUGUGAGCUUUCUGACUCUCUGAGCCCC